GACGAACGCUGGCGGCGUGCCUAAUACAUGCAAGUCGAACGAACCGCGACUAGGUGCUUGCACUUGGUCAAGGUGAGUGGCGAACGGGUGAGUAACACGUGGGUAACCUACCUCAUAGUGGGGGAUAACAGUCGGAAACGACUGCUAAUACCGCAUAGGACAUAGGAUCACAUGAUUCUGUGAUGAAAGGUGGCGCAAGCUAUCGCUAAGAGAUGGACCCGCGGUGCAUUAGCUAGUUGGUAGGGUAAAGGCCUACCAAGGCGAUGAUGCAUAGCCGACCUGAGAGGGUGAUCGGCCACAUUGGGACUGAGACACGGCCCAAACUCCUACGGGAGGCAGCAGUAGGGAAUCUUCCGCAAUGGGCGCAAGUCUGACGGAGCAACGCCGCGUGAGUGAAGAAGGUCUUCGGAUCGUAAAGCUCUGUUGUUAGGGAAGAACAGCGCAUAGAGUAACUGUUAUGCGUGUGACGGUAUCUAACCAGAAAGCCACGGCUAACUACGUG
rnacentral:rRNA from 1 species